CAAUAUGAAGAUCAGGCUGAAGACCUUACCGGUAGUUAGCUGAGAGGUGGUGCAUGGCCGUCGUCAGUUCGUACUGUGAAGCAUCCUGUUAAGUCAGGCAACGAGCGAGACCCACGUCCACAGUUGCCAGCAUACCCUCCGGGGUGAUGGGUACACUGUGGAGACCGCCGCUGCUAAAGCGGAGGAAGGAAUGGGCAACGGUAGGUCAGUAUGCCCCGAAUCUCCCGGGCUACACGCGGGCUACAAUGGUUGGUACAAUGGGCAUCUACCCCGAAAGGGGAAGGAAAUCUCUUAAAGCCAAUCGUAGUUCGGAUUGAGGGCUGCAACUCGCCCUCAUGAAGCUGGAAUCCGUAGUAAUCGCGUUUCAACAGAACGCGGUGAAUACGUCCCUGCUCCUU
rnacentral:rRNA from 1 species